AAGGGAAUGCACCGGUUAGCGAGGGUGGCUGCCCAAUUCAGGGCCAGGGGACUGGCUGGCAUGGGCACCUGGGAGUUCAUCUGGGCAUGGAGGGGCCCAGCUCAGACCUGGGGUAAGCGAGCUAGACUCUGGGGAAGUGUAUGGGGGCAUUCCACCUAUUUACAUCUGGGGGAAUCUGGCCCCAGCUUGGGUUCAGGCCAGAGGAGGGAGCUGAGAAGGGGGCACACAGGGUUGUGAUAUAAGCCACUGCUUGCUCUACCUGAGCCAGGACAGAUGGAGAGCCCAGGCCAGGCCCAGAACACGGGGAGAGCAAAGGUGGCUUGAAGCCCCCCCUCCCUGCCCCAAACACAGGAAGGGGGUAGUGGAGAAUUGGGCUCCCAGGCACCCUGCAGGAUCGAGCCCUGCUUUGGGUCUGUGGGAGCAAAGAAGAGACCCGGGGGUGUUUUCCAGCUUGAGAGCUCCAAGUUCCACAGCAGCAGCGCUAUGGUCACCAUGGCCACCCCGAGGGCCAGGGCUUGCUGGGAGGGGACCUCUCCCAUCAUGGGGAUGCUGUCACUAGCCUGGGGGCGGGAGCCUUGCCCCACUCACCAGGUAGAGGGAUCAGCUCUCCCAGCCCCAAUCCCCCAUGGAAGCAGUGCCAAGUGCCUGAACAGCACUGUGGAAAUCAGCCAGGGGAUUGGCGCACAUGCUGGAGCAGGGUUUAGGAGCCAGGUCCAGCUGCUUCCCAUCCAACCCGCCUCUCCCCGACACUCCAAUCCACCGUGGAGCUCAGGACUGCUCCAGCCAAGGGGAUCUGCAGCUGUCCCAGCACCUGCCCAGGUUGGAGCAUGCCCAGGAGGCAGGCAGCGGGACCUGGCACAUCAUCUCCAAAGCAGGGGGGAGGGGUUAGGGCACUGGCAACACAGUCCUGAAACAACCGGGCUUGCCCGCUGAGAUCCCAGGGCAGCAGCAUUACGAGCUCUGCCGGCGCCAUUAGGGAGACAAGCUGCCUCCGCUUGCUGCUGGGCUAAGAGGAGGGGCCUGACUGCACACUGGGGUGAGAGCCCUGCACCUCCCCACGGAGCGCUCUGAUGCCAGAGCCAUGAUGGAAAGAGCUCCUGGGAAACAGGUGAAGAUGGUGAAUGAAGGAUCCAGACCCCUGGAACCCGCUGAGGGGCAGCAGCUCCAGCCUGGGUCCCUUACACACGCUGCAGUGCUUGGGACUGAAGUUAAUGAGGGAUAAGCCAGGUAGUUCUGCUAUUACAGCCCAGGCCUGACUCAGAGUCGCUCCUGUCCUGGGCUUAGAUGUCCACAGACUGGGCAUCAGUGGGGUGAAGAAAUUGGGGCCCUAGGGUGAGAUUAAACUCAUGCCACUUGUGAUCCGACUAAUUAAUACAGUAUAACCUACUUUAGCACAGCAUAUGGCCUGUCUCCCCCAUAUGCUGCUCCUAGUAAGAGUCUAGUAGUGCUAUCAGCUAGAGGAGAUACAAGUAGCUAAUAGUAUAACACUGAUAGUCCCAGGUUCAAAUCCUGCUGAUGACCCAAGCAGUGGGGUAAUAAAGUAGCUUUGAUCCAGCUCUCUAAAAGUAGCAGCCUGUUCCCUUCCUACAGAGUCAGUUUCACAUGAAGCCAAAGAAGGAGCUUCCCCUCUGAUGUGACUAAUCCCUCCUCUUAUUGCUAGGGAAAGAAGAGACUGAACAAAAGCCUCAUUCUCAGAGCUUUAUUGAAUACAUAAUUUUGCUUGAACAAAAUCCUCAUACAUGGCACAUACAGUAGAAAUAUUGCGACAUAAUGUUUCUCCUGCACUGUGGAAAAGGUAUGUGGAAUCCUAGACAUCUCUGCUUCAGGAGGAAACAGGAGAAAUGAAAGCUGUGAUCUUUGCCCAGGUAACACCGUGAAGGGAAGGAAUGAUGCCCAGUGAAUUAGUGAAGUUUUAGGUAUAAACCCAUAGAAUGCUCUGUGUGAUCCCAUGUUCUAUUAUUCCUUGCUCAGUUUUUGCAUCUUUCUAUUCUGCUCAAGAUGGUAUCUAAGCUCAUCAAAGCAAAGCUGCACCUGUAGCCCCAUAAUGAGAACUGUACUGGGGAAAGUUUGUUCAUACAGCACUGUAACUGAGGGCAAAACUGGCCCCGUUUUUUUUAAAAACAUACAAAAAUUUCUGGGCAGAGUUUUCAACCCAAACACUGCAGCAUCAACUGUGAAACAAGCAUGAAAUUGACCUCAAUGUUCAAACUGAGAGAAACACAAAACCGUGGCAUAAACAGUGAAAAGCAAGUUGGAUUGUUUCUACGCUCUCGGGUUAAUAGGCUACGGUGCUGUUAGUAAUGAGGGAAGAGAAAUCUGGGCCAAAUGUUUCCAAGUUAGCCAGUGACGCUGGGCAUCGUUUUUUUAGGAACACUGUAACAGGCAGCUUGGGUCUGGAGUCUCAGAUGUGCCAAGUACCCUUUUGAAAUCAGUGGGAGCUGCAGUGGUUCUGAAAGAGAUCAGCACCCUGUCGGCCCCCCGACCUGAGGCAAUCUGAGUCAGUGGCCACUUUUGAAAGCGCACUAGUUUACUAGAUUUAGAACCAGGAUGUAACUUCACAUUUCUGUAUUGAAGUCAAUAGAGCUAGAACGAUGUACACCACUGGGGAGCUGGCUGGUGAUUUAUAUUGGACUGUCCCUCCAAUUAGUAUUUUUAAUACAAUACACAAUUUAAAAAAUAUUCUCCUCUCCCGCUAUCUCUCACUCACAUCAGUCACUGGAUCUCUGUCUCCCUUUGUCUCCAGAGGAACAAUAACCCACCCACAAGC